rnacentral:lncRNA from 1 species
AUGGCAAUGGGGUGGAGGGGCCAGGGCUCCUCCCGCUGCCCCUUGGGCUGCACAGAUAUGGGGCCACCCAGGCCAGCUGAUCCUGCAGGACUUAGAGGCCCUGGUGGUGGGCGGAGCUCUCCAGGGAAGUCGUGUGUGGCCUCCCGGGAUUCCGGCAGUCUCUGCUCUUGCUGGCAGCCUGUGGGACUCUCUACCCUCUUUUGUGGCUACAUCACCUUUGGGUGUCCCCAAGCCUGCAUGCCAAGGCACGGAGCAGCCAUGGUGAAGGGAGUAGGAGCCGGGGCCUUCCCUGAGCUCAGCGUGUCUCUGGUCCCUGGACCCUUCCCUUGUGGUCACACAGUGACUGCUGCUGUGCCAGCCAUCUCACGCGGAGGCCAGAGGAGGGCAGAGGGGAACAGGCUGCCACGUCUGUGUCUGACAGGACACAAGAGCUCUCCAGGGAGGCCCCACAGACAUGGCUGUGUGUCAGCUUGGGGAGCGGCUCAGGGUGCAGCUCCAGCUCUCCCAGUGCAGGCGGGGACAGCCACUGCCCCCUGCCCCCCACACUCUGCUCCCCAGCUGAUGUGGGCAGAACCUGGGCAGGGGAGGGGGAGGCGGCUGGGAACAGAGGCCGGCAGUGACAGGGGCCGCUUGCAGACUGUGGGGCAUGAGGGCCAGCAGCUGUUCAUCCCCAGCCAGGGCCCUGCAAGCCCGUGCUUGUCUGAGCCAGGAAGCAGGAGGGUGGUGGGACCUGCUGUGUGUAAGGUGGCUGGCAUCCUCUGGGCUUGGCUUGCCACACUUCCAACCUCUGUCCAGCCCCUGCCACCCUUUGGCUGCUCUAGGGACUGCAGAAUCCAUGAUCUGCUCACUCCGUGGUGCCCUCAGGGCUUUGCUGCAGAUGGGGAUACUGAGGCAGAUGCCCCAUCACCCAGAACUACCCUAGGUCCUCUGAGUGUGGCUGAGCCUUCCCCACCAGCUGUUAAUCUUGGGCGCUUGUCAACUUUUGGUUGCCUGACCCCUCCCCGAGCUCACAGUCUCCUGUUCUCAAUCAGGAGGCAGAGGAGGGGCAAAGGGGUCUCCUCCAAGAUCUCAGUCUGUGGGCAGGGAGUGCACUUGUGCAUGGGCUGCAGGUAUGGGGGUGUGUGA